ensembl:rRNA 5S_rRNA 5S ribosomal RNA
GUCUACGGCCAUACCACCCUGAAUGCGCCCGAUCUCGUCUGAUCUCGGAAGCUAAGCAGGGUCAAGCCUGGUUAGUCCUUAGAUGGGAAAAAUAUGGUAAUAUUCACCACCAAGAGAAUUAUAGUUACUAGAUU